rnacentral:lncRNA from 1 species
UUACAUAUGUAUACCUGUGCCAUGUUGGUGUGCUGCACCCAUUAACUGGUCUGCCAUUUUUACCCUUUGUCUAUAUUUCUAUUACUGAACAGAUACCACAGUAUAUUAAUUUCUGUAGCCUUAUAAAAUGUUUUGAUAUUAGGUAGAAUAAUCAUCCUAUCUUGUUUUUUUUCUUUCUUUUUGUUUUCAAGUUUUCCUGUUUUAAACUUCUGUAAUUUUAAAAUUGAGAUUCAGUAAGUAUUCAGCUCAAUUUAGGGAAAAAUUAUAACUUAAAGAUUACUUUUUUGCUUUAUUAUUACAAUUUUUGCAUUGAAUUUUUUUGUUGCCAUUAUUCAUAUUUGAGUUAUUGGACAUUAAAAAAAGUACAGAAAAUUCCUGUGUAUCCUUCACCCAGCUUGUCCCAACGAUACUAUCUUAUAUAACCAUAGUACAUUAUCAAACCCAGGAAAUUCACUUUGGUAGAAUACUAUUAACUCAUUCAAAUUUCACCAGUUGUUACAUGCAUUUUGUGUGUGUGUGUGGUGGUUUGUAGAAUUCUAUGAAAUUUUUCACACGUGUAGAUUUAUGUAACCAUCACCCCAAUCAGGAUACAGAACUGUUUUAUUACCGCAAAGAAACUUCCUCUUGUUAUUUCUCAAAAGUCAGUCACAUCCUCUCCCCAAAACCUCCUAAACCCUGGAGACCAAAGAUCUGUUCUACAUCACUAUAAUUUCAUUGCACAGAUACAGAUAUAGAUAUAAAACAUACAAUAUGUGAACUUUUGAGAUUGGCUUUCCUUUUUUUACAAAGUACAAUGCCCUUGAGCUCUAUCCAGGUCAUUGUAUGUGUCAAUAAUUUCUUCUUUUUAAUUCCUGAAUAGCAUUCUAGUGUCUAAUUGUACCAAAGUUUGUUUAUGCAUUUGUACUGAAGGACAUUUGUGUUGUUUAUAAGUUUUGCUAUUACAAAGGAAGCUGCUAUGGACAUUUAUGUCAGGUUUUUGAAUGACUGUAAGUUUUUAUUUCUCUAGGAUAACUAUGCAGGAACAUGGGGUUGUAAAACGAAUC